AGAGAGCGAUCGUUGCACGAACUCGAACGCUAGCUGCAAAAUGAUGACGUGAUUCACAAAGUGAGACAGUUACAGAGCCACAAACUCGAACAACAGAGGCAGAAACGAGAAUAAAUCGCAGCGGCGCCGGCUGCUAGAUUUAGGAUCCAGAUUUGGGGUUUAGGGUCUCACUGGUCUAGAUUUCAAUUAUUACACAUGAAUCUAUUUAUUUCAAUGAUGAUGAAUUU
rnacentral:lncRNA from 1 species